UGGUUUAAACAGUUUUAUGUACUGUUUGUUUACCCUAUAUGUUAUUACUUGCAGGUAAUGACAAGCAUGUAUUUAUCUAUAAGCCACUAAUUUGCUGCCACUUUGCCAAGACGACUUGAUACUUUUCCAUAUCUGAUUGGGAGAUGCUGACCAGAAUUUUAAGAGCUGGGCUGGAGCAGUGCAAUGGGCUCAAUACUGUGGGAACUUUAUUCUCUCUGAGGAUACUAGGUGGCACAUGAAUUGAGAAAUGAGGAUCGAGGGACCAAAUCUGGCCUGGUCAGUAAGAGUAGUCUUACAUCCCAGAACUAUGAACAUGCAAUAUAUGGACAAGGUUCUACAGUUAUGCUACAGGCAAGGUAGCAUUAUGUGAUGGAAAAAUAAAUAAAGAUUGAAGUCUGAAGACAAGCUUCCAAUUUCAGCUCUGCCAUUUCCUAGGCCAGGAAGAAAGCAUGAGUCCACUGGCAAGUUUUGUGAGGCAUGGAUGUUUGGGCUGUGAAGUGAUCAACUACUCUAGGGGCGGUUCUCAAACUUGAAGAUGUCCCCGGAUCACCUGAGCAAUCUAUUACCUAUCACUCUCCAGACUCUCAAUGGGGAUUCAGAUUCCCAACUGUAGUGAAGCCCAGAAGAUUCACAAGGUGAUUCUGAUGCAGGAGGUCUGCAAACCACAUUUCCAGAAACCCUGACUUUGAAUCAAACAUUUACAAAUGAAUAAAAAGAACGAUUUUACUUGA